rfam:Clostridium sp. CAG:914 genomic scaffold, scf4
UUGAUUGCUCAACCGCACGAAAAAGGUAUAUAAGUAGAUUUUUCUCACCUUAUAGGCGAGUCUUAAACAAAAU